NNNNNNNNNNNNNNNNNNNNNNNNNNNNNNNNNNNNNNNNNNNNNGCCAAGCUGUUACAGAAAGGCAAAAGAGCAGUUACAUUGAAUUCAACCCUCGGGGAAGGGUCUUUUCACUGCAAGGGGAGGAGGGGUACUCUUACACAACAAAAGAGCAGUUAAUUAUUUAAAGACUGGGGGGGGUCUUUCAGAGCCUGAUGUGGAACUCGAUCCCAGGACCCUGGGACCAAGACCUGAGCUGAAGGCAGACGCUUAACCGACUAAGCCAUACAGGCGUCCCAAUAAAUAAAAUCUUAAAAAAAAAAGAAGAAGAAGAAAGAAAAAGGCAUUUAUCCUACAGACCUCAACUGUGGAGAUUAUUUCCCAAAGUUCUGGAACCUUCCUGUUAAGUUUUAGGGGCUUGUCUGAAGAUUUACAUUUCCGCAGGCAAGCGCAGGCUCGGGGCUGUGGGUAUUAAUAACGCAGGUGCCAUCACAGACCAUGAGUGGUAGCUGUAGGCAAGGAGUGGAGUACGGUUCCAGCUCCUGCAGCCGUCACCUGGGGCUUAACUCUUCGACCGAAGGUCCCCCCACCCCACCCCAAAACCGCGCUCCGCCCGAGAAAGUGCUCAGGCGGAAUGUGCAAAGCCCGAGGGCUGGCUGGGAGACAGAGCAGGCAGAGCGUGGGCCUCCUCGGGUGUGCAGGCUGUGCCCACCCGGACUAAGGGCCCCUGUGUCUAGUUCAUACAAAUGCGCUGCCCUGUGGGCGGGCCACGGCCUGAGUGCUCACUGCCCCGGGGCGGCGGGGGGGGGGUGGGGGCGGGACGUGAGAGCGAGCGCGAGCCGCUGGGCCGCCGGCGGCGCGUACAAGAGGGGGCAGACGCCGAGCGCCCCGCGGGCGGAGAGGUCGCGGCUGUUCGCCUUGCCUGUCCUUACCCGUUCGCGGACUUCGGGGUCCCCCCGACUCCACCCAAGCUUCCUUCUUGCGCUGUGUCCUGGCCAGAGCCGGAGCGGUCCACGAUGAGCCGCUUGACCCAGAACGUGCUGGAGGUGAUGAAGGCGAUGGCCCGUGUCCCCGGGUUUGACAGAGUUUUGGAAAAGGUACUGCCGUGGGAGCGCCGGCUUCUCGGGAAGGCGCGGCGCGGGGUAUCUCCGGCUCGAUGCCGCCGGACUGCCCGGGGACGCCGCUCCAUAGCGGUGAGGGCGGCUGUCCGGGCGUCCCGUGUGUGAGCUCGGGCGCCCGGUGUACUUCACGGAAACGUGUGCUGCGAGGCUCCGACCGGCCUCGAUUCAGGCUGGGGCUCCUUCCGAGUCACCCCUGCCGGGUGGACACGCGGUGCGUGGACCGCGCGUGCGAGAACCCGAGCCCCGUCGCUGAGCCUCGCCUGCCCCGUGGGCUCCGAUCGCUUCGUAGCCUGCGGCUGGGCAGAAUCAUCGGGCGCAAAGCCCGUUCUGUCCAAGGUGUUGAGUAUCUCUUCAGUUUGUGGAAUACUGCAGGGAACGGGGGAAACGGAGUGGCUGUUUCGGGUUAGAAUCAUUUCCUUCCUUCCUAGAGAACGCCAGCGCGGAGGCCGGGGAGAGGGAGAGGGAGAGAACCUCACGCGGGCUCCAGGCCCGGCCCGGAGCCCAGGCAGGGCCGGACCUCCCGUGAGAUCUGGGGGCAUGACUGAGUAGAAACCAGGAGUCCCGGGCUUAAGCUUCGGAGGCACCCAGGCACCCCUCGUUACAGUAUCAUUUUAAGCAGAGGUGCUAGCCCUCCUGCUGUCCGGGCCGGCUGGGAGCUGCCCCGCACCUGGCCAGCGUGGUGCUGCGUGUGACUAGCUUGGGUUAAUGAUGGAAAUUCAAAAUUCGAAGUUUCUGCUGAAUGUGUAACGCUGUCACGCCAUUAUAAAGUGGGGAAAUCUUAAGUCAGACCGUCGUCAGUCGGGGAAUGUUGAAGCGAUGCUCACUUGUGGAGACAAUUUUCUUGAUUUCAGAGCGGGAAAGGACUUGAAAGCUUGGCUUUCAACAUACAGAGGCCGGUAGUGCUCUGAGGAAAAGAGGAAGAGACAAUGUCUACACUUAAGAUGCACUUGCAGCCUAGAGGAUUAGAAAAUAAAUAAUUGCAGCAAGGUGGGAAAGCCAGAUUCCGGGAAGAGAGGGGUGCUUCGGAGUCAGGCAGGGAUAGCCCUUGUCUCCUUGGCACAUGAACAGACUAGCCCAGAUUCCUAGUUUUCAGGGUCUUUGUAGAAAUCGUCUUACCUAGGAAUCAUUUAUAAAUAAACACGAAUAACAGAAGCCCUUGGUUAUGUCAGAUUGGGAAGACGUUUGACAGCCAAAGAACUUCUAGGCUUUUUCCUAAAUAUUUUAAGUAUGCAUGCCUGUUUUCCUUUUAGAGAGGCAUGUGGGUCAGGGAGAGACUCAAGGAGAGAGAGAGAAUCUUAAUUUAGCAGGUUCCAUGCCCAGUGCAGAGCUGGAGGUGGGAUUUGACCUAACAGCCCCGGGAUCAUGACCUGACCUGAAAUCAAGAGUCAGAUGCUUAACCGACAGAGCCACCCAGGCGCUCUUGCCUGUUUUCCUUCUGAUUAGGAAAGAGUAUUGGGAACUGUGCAAAUACAUAAUUUAAAAGUGGAGUUUAAACAGACCAACUGCUAUCACUUGUAAGAAGAAUGUAGACCAUUGGACCAAAGUCCUCCUCCUGGAAACAACAUUUGGGCUACAUUUUCAGUAUUUCAAUCAUUAUAGCCAAGGGCUUUUGUGAAAAACAUAGGAAAUCAUGCUCAAAUGUAUUCAGUGUUUUCAAAUAGCAAACACUGUAAAAUCCAAGGAUAUGCUACUUUUUAACAGUAAUUUUUGAGAGAGAUACAUGCAACAAAAGAAGUAUUGAACUAAGGGGAAGACUGAAUUCCCUAAAAACAUCAAUAGCCAUUUUCAUUACUCAACUUCCAACAACCAAAUUUUGGGUGUGUCCUCCCCUGAUAAUCUUGCUGCGGGUUGGAUUUGCCUUUGAGUAGUCUGAGAAAAAUCUCAUACCUUGAACAGUCUCACUUUAACAAUCAUAAACUUCACUUAUGCCGGAGUUGGCUUUGGUGGUCCAAGUCUUCCAAGAGGAUAUGCCUGUUAAACCUGAUGUACAGAGUUUCUCAGAAGUUGUAGUAAGAUUGAAUAGAGGUACCUGUGAUUCUAGACCCAGCAGUGUCCAGUAGAGAUGUAGCACAAGCUACAUAUGCAAGCCACACAUAUCAUUUUAUUUAUAUAUGUAUAUGUACAUAUAUACACAUAUAUAUAACUAUAAAAAAGGCAAAAAGAAGUAAAAUUAAUUUUAUUAAUACAUUUUAAGCAACUCAUUAUAUUUGAAAUUAUAUUAUUUUAGCAUGUAACCCACACAAGAGUAUCUUGUUUGGGGGACUUCAACCUUGAAUUCCAGUGUGAAUUUUAAACUUAACAGCACAUCCCAGUCAUACUGGCCGUUUCAAGUGCUCAAUACUGACAUCAGGCUAGUGGCUACCAUACUAACUGCACAGGUCAGUACCUCUGUAGGUGUUCUGUAUUAAUUUGAUCUAUAAUAGGAUCUGUGUUUGUGUCUUGUGUGGGCACAGUUGCUUGGGCUAGAAUAUAUAUUUAUGGUGAUGCAUAAAGCUAGUUGUGAAUUUGGUUCCUUUCCUACUAUUGUAAACUUAAAUGUAACAUGACCUAAACCAGUGUUUCUCAACUAGGGGUAAUUUUGUUCCCUGUGGGACAUCUGUUUGCGGACGACUGGAGUGUGAUGGAAAGGGCACUAUGGGGGGCAUCUACUAGGUGAGGCCACAGAUACUGUCCUCCCGUGCGCAGGCUCCUUGCCCUCGAUUCCCCACAAUAAUGAGCCAUCCAGUGCACAUGUCAACAGUGCUGACAUUGAAAAACCUUUUUAAUCAUUCUCUCUGUCCUGGGUUAAAACUAAAUAAAUAGCAUAGUAUAAACCAUGUCUUUGUGCUGAACUUCGGCUGUUCAGAUCAUGGAACUUCCUCUUAUCCCCUUCGUCUUGGUAUGGGAUAAAAUGAGUUUUUUUCUAAAUCUCUAACAAUUACUUAUAUUCUCUGUUAAAAUAACUAGCGUGUUGUUUGUUGCCUCACCGGUCCUUGAUUGAUGAAAUUAUUUUAUGUCAAAUAGUUGUCCCUUUGGUUAUUUAAAUGGGAAACUAGAGAUUUUUCAAGAUAAGAAUGUUUAUUUUUAAGCAUUUAAUGCAAGCAUGUUGUUAAAACUAAAUUGGAAUAAGGGUAUACAUGAUCUUUUUCAGACACACCUGUGCUCUUAUCACUACUUUGCAAAAGUCAGAAGCAAUAAUGUUUCUCCUUUUUCUUUUUAAGUAGGCUCCAUGGCUAGUGUAGGGCCUGAAUUCAUGACCUUGAGGUCAAGAGCUGGGCUGAGAUCAAAAGUCAGACACUCCACGGACUGGGCCACCUAGGUGACCCUCUUCUUAUUACUGAGUGUAAGAAGCAAGUGAGCUGUGUAGUACUAUCACUUUAAGUCUGCCCCAUUAUCCAGGCCUACAGUGGCCUUACUAACUACCCCAGUAGAGACAACCAGCUCGCCAAAAGAGAGGUGCUGUUUUUUUCUUGAUUAUAUACAAAAGACAAUUCUGUCCUGAGUGCUAACCUCUGAUUCUUUUGAAGGUCUUUUUGUUCUGUUUUGUUUUUGUCUUUUGAGGAGCAGGGAGGGGCAGAGGGAGAGGAGAGAGUCUAAGCAGACUCCACACUGAGACAUGGAGCCCAACCUGGGACACGAUCCCACAACCCUGAGAUCACAACCUGAACCAAAACCAGGAGUCAGACACUCAGCUGACUGAGCCACACAGGUGCCCCAUUUAAAAAAAAAUUUUUUUUUAAGUCAAUGAAUUAAGAUAACACUUGAAAUGUUCAUAAUAUUCCCAUGGAGCUUUGGGUCUUGGACAGAUGUUUAGAACCAGCAUAUAAAAUCUGCUAAAUGAUGAUGACUUUCUAUUCCUCCAAAACUGAUCUGUUGAAGAAGGCACUUUGCACUCAGUCCUGCUUCGGGUGUCAAAUUAAUGCACAAGAUCUUAACUUAGAACAUCUUUAUUAUUUUAAGGCUGUCCUUUGUAAAACAAAAAAAAANNNNNNNNNNNNNNNNNNNNNNNNNNNNNNNNNNNNNNNNNNNNNNNNNNNNNNNNNNNNNNNNNN
ensembl:lincRNA